rnacentral:rRNA from 1 species
UGAGUAACCUGCCCUUAACUCUGGGAUAAGCCUGGGAAACUGGGUCUAAUACCGGAUAUGACUCCUCAUCGCAUGGUGGGGGGUGGAAAGCUUUAUUGUGGUUUUGGAUGGACUCGCGGCCUAUCAGCUUGUUGGUGAGGUAAUAGCUCACCAAGGCGAUGACGGGUAGCCGGCCUGAGAGGGUGACCGGCCACACUGGGACUGAGACACGGCCCAGACCUCCGUACGGGAGGCCAG